rnacentral:rRNA from 1 species
AUUGAACGCUGGCGGCAGGCCUAACACAUGCAAGUCGAGCGAGCGUCUGACGGGUGAGUAAUGUCUGGGAAACUGCCUGAUGGAGGGGGAUAACUACUGUUAACGGUAGCUAAUACCGCAUACCAUCAGAUGUGCCCAGAUGGUAUUAGCUAGUAGGUGGGGUAAUGGCUCACCUAGGCGACGAUCCCUAGCUGGUCUGAGAGGAUGACCAGCCCCACUGGAACUGAGACACGGUCCAGACUCCUCCGGGAGGCAGCAGUGGGGAAUAUUGCACAAUGGGCGCAAGCCUGAUGCAGCCAUGCCGCGUGUGUGAGGAAGGCCUUCGGGUUGUAAAGCACUUUCAGCGAGGAGGCGUUAAUCGCAGAAGAAGCACCGGCUAACUCCGUGCCAGCAGCCGCGGUAAUAG